rnacentral:rRNA from 1 species
UACGAAGGGGGCUAGCGUUGCUCGGAAUCACUGGGCGUAAAGCGCACGUAGGCGGAUCUUUAAGUCGGGGGUGAAAGCCCGAGGCUCAACCUCGGAACUGCCUUCGAUACUGCGGGUCUCGAGUCCGGGAGAGGUGAGUGGAAUUCCUAGUGUAGAGGUGAAAUUCGUAGAUAUUAGGAAGAACACCAGUGGCGAAGGCGGCUCACUGGCCCGGUACUGACGCUGAGGCGCGAAAGCGUGGGGAGCAAACAGG